rnacentral:misc_RNA from 1 species
UGAAAUCAUAAACAUCGUUGUCGGGAUCCGGCGGCUUCCUGAUGAAGAAAUCACAGUGCAGCAAACUAAUCUUAUGAAAUUCCUCCUCGUUUAUCCUAUAAUCCACAAUCAUCUCCGAAUCCCACCCCUGCGUCGACACGAAGCUUUUGCUCUGCACAAUCGAGAUAUUCUCGUCGCCAACGCCGUCGGAACCCGCUGCUGCAGCUGCGGCCGCGGCUAGAGGAUCGUACUCGAUGUCAAAAUCCUUCUUGUUGUCGACUUCCUCCAUUUCCUCGUCGUCCAUGUCGUAGUCG